CUUCCGCUGCCCGGCGCGUGAGGACUCACAUAUCCCGAUCCUAAGGGAGCUGUCCCUGACCGGGCCCGUGGGCUCGGACAUACGGCGCCCACCUACGUGAGUAGGUUCCCGGGAUCGCAUGUCCCACGGCCAGGGCGGCACAAGA
rnacentral:other from 1 species